rnacentral:rRNA from 1 species
UACGUAGGGUGCGAGCGUUAAUCGGAAUUACUGGGCGUAAAGUGUGCGCAGGCGGCAGAGCAAGUCGAGUGUGAAAGCCCCCGGCUCAACUGGGGAGGGUCACGCGAUACUGAUCGACUGGAAGGCAGGAGAGGGUAGUGGAAUUCCCGGUGUAGUGGUGAAAUGCGUAGAUAUCGGGAGGAACACCAGUGGCGAAGGCGACUACCUGGCCUGUUCUUGACGCUGAGGCGCGAAAGCUAGGGGAGCAAACGGG